AUGAACGCUAGCUACAGGCUUAACACAUGCAAGUCGAGGGGAAACGGCAUUUAGUGCUUGCACCGAAUGGACGUCGACCGGCGCACGGUGAGUAACGCGUAUCCAACCUACCCAUUACUGUGGGAUAACCUGCCGAAAGGCAGACUAAUACCGCAUAGUCUUCGAUGACGGCAUCAGAUUUGAAGUAAAGAUUUAUCGGUAAUGGAUGGGGAUGCGUCUGAUUAGCUUGUUGGCGGGGUAACGGCCCACCAAGGCAACGAUCAGUAGGGGUUCUGAGAGGAAGGUCCCCCACAUUGGAAUGAGACACGGUCCAAACUCCUACGGGAGGCAGCAGUGAGGAAUAUUGGUCAAUGGCGCGAGCCUGAAACCAGCCAAGUAGCGUGCAGGAUGACGGGCCCCUAUGGGUUGUAAAACUGCUUUUGUAUGGGG
rnacentral:rRNA from 1 species